GAGUCGCGAGUUAGAUCCCUUUCCAUUUUGCUGCUGACUUAGAGAUAUACCGGCUACAUGUAGUUGUAGUUUUUGGUUCUUGUACAUACUGAUGUUAAAUCCUCGCUGGAGCGAGUGUUUUUAUACCAGGAUGCUAUGUAUGUAUAGUGACCAGUUUUAUUUAUAUAUUGUUCUUUUUAGCAGCUCUAUACUACUGGCUGUAGUGUUGUAUGAUUACAGGUACAGGUAUAGCUAUCGCUUCGUAUACAGAAAAAAUUCCUAUGUAUACAGCGGGUCCUAUGUAUACGGCGGGUCUGUUGGCAUGUCCGGGGAAACGAGUAAUCCGGGGUGCGACACAAAAUGAUCGGGAGAUGGCUUGAGCACAGUAAUCGGUAGUGGCGUGGCAAGACCGUGGUGGAGAUGACGUCGAUGUGGGUGAUGAUGGCGGCGAUGAAUGCAGGCUGCAGAAAAAAAAAGAAUGAAGGGAUUCGCUCCCCACGAACUCAUUCCGAUCGACGCAUGAAUGUGAAUGAAUUUAGGUAUCGUUUGGUUCNGCUCUAUACUACUGGCUGUAGUGUUGUAUGAUUACAGGUACAGGUAUAGCUAUCGCUUCGUAUACAGAAAAAAUUCCUAUGUAUACAGCGGGUCCGAUGAAUGCAGGCUGCAGAAAAAAAAAGAAUGAAGGGAUUCGCUCCCCACGAACUCAUUCCGAUCGACGCAUGAAUGUGAAUGAAUUUAGGUAUCGUUUGGUUCGGGGAUAAGCAAAAAGUGGCUAUUCCAGUUAUAGAUAUAAAUUGAGCUAUAAGUGGGGAUUAAAUCAAUUUUAUGUUUAGAUGAAAAUUGGGUUAUUUCUAGGAAUAAAAAAAUAGCGUUUGGUUAGUUAAGAUGUAAUAAGAAUUAAAGUGGAUAGUUAUAAAUAAAAAAUAAUAAUAUUAUCCCUUUCUUUAUAUUAGAAUUUGAAUUUUUAUAUUUUAGAAUUUAAAUAUAAUUUACUAUAAAAUUUAUUAUAAUAUUUAAAUAUAAAUAAUAUGAAUUAAUAUAGUGCAAUUAAUAAUUUUAUAAUAAAAGUAAUGUGUUAUAAUAUAUAACAUAUUAUAUUUAUACAAUUUACUUUUAAUUCAAUUUAUAAUUUAAAUUUGAAAUUAAGCAUUGGAAUAGUACUAUUCCUCCAAAAUGAUGGAAUAGUAAAUCUCAAGCUAUUCUGGGAUAACCGGGAAUAGCAAAGUUCGACCGAGAUAAAAUAUCCUGACAAAAAAUUACCCCGUUUGGCGGAAUAGCGGGGAUAACUGUAAGGGAAGUGAAUUCUCGAAGUACGGGAGCUAAACUACGUUUAAAAUCAACUAAUUGUCGAGUUGGUGUCCUUCGGAAA
rnacentral:lncRNA from 1 species